rnacentral:lncRNA from 1 species
GAUCAAGCAUAAUUUAGCCACAUUUUUAUUAUAUUUAUUACUGUUUAUUUACACAUUUUUCUAGCUUAAUUUGUGUUUUUGUUAUGUUUUUACAGAAAAGGAAGAAAUUGGAAAGUUGGAGAAAAAGUGAAGAAAAAGCUGGAAAAGUGAUUGGGUCAAAGUGAUUUGCCCAAAUCACUCGCAGAAACUGGCUAAAUCACUCGCAGAGACAGAGACAGAAACUGGACUGAAUCCCAGAGAGCGAUUGGGGCAGAUUGGGCAAGUGAUUUGCCCAAAUCACUUGCAGAAACUGCCCAAAUCACCUUGACAGCAGAAAUUGACAGCAGAGGCGGGAAAACAGCAGGGAACCAAAUUUUGAAUUUUCAGAAGUCCAAAU